ACUCCUACGGGAGGCAGCAGUGGGGAAUUUUGGACAAUGGGCGAAAGCCUGAUCCAGCAAUGCCGCGUGAGUGAAGAAGGCCUUCGGGUUGUAAAGCUCUUUUGUCAGGGAAGAAACGGUGAAAGCUAAUAUCUUUUGCUAAUGACGGUACCUGAAGAAUAAGCACCGGCUAACUACGUGCCAGCAGCCGCGGUAAUACGUAGGGUGCAAGCGUUAAUCGGAAUUACUGGGCGUAAAGCGUGCGCAGGCGGUUUUGUAAGUCUGAUGUGAAAUCCCCGGGCUCAACCUGGGAAUUGCAUUGGAGACUGCAAGGCUAGAAUCUGGCAGAGGGGGGUAGAAUUCCACGUGUAGCAGUGAAAUGCGUAGAUAUGUGGAGGAACACCGAUGGCGAAGGCAGCCCCCUGGGUCAAGAUUGACGCUCAUGCACGAAAGCGUGGGGAGCAAACAGGAUUAGAUACCCCUGUAGUCCCAUGAU
rnacentral:rRNA from 1 species